AAGUCGUAACAAGGUUUCCGUAGGUGAACCUGCGGAAGGAUCAUUAACACGAAUCCAACCUUUUAAACCCAAAGAGGACCUUGAGGCAAGAUAACUCACACAAUCCUUCUAUCGGUCCAGCUACUGUAGAACUUUGUGCCGUUUGGGGUCAAUUGUCCCCGGUUCUCAGCAUGCCCCGAUAGAGCAGCGGUUGUCGUGGAGCCUGGCUUAACCACUGUAACGGCAAUUUGUGUCAAACGAUUGCGUAAUCUUGAAGCUGCGUCUUCGAGGCUCCUAACGGAGCUUCAGACACAGUUUUAUUUACAAAACCAAAAUACAACUCUUAGCAACGGAUAUCUUGGUUCUC
rnacentral:misc_RNA from 1 species